rnacentral:rRNA from 1 species
CCUCCUACGGGAGGCAGCAGUGGGGAAUUUUGCGCAAUGGGGAAACCCUGACGCAGCAACGCCGCGUGGAGGAUGAAGCCCUUGGGUGUAAACUCCUUUCGAUGGGGAAGAUUAUGACGGUACCCAUAGAAGAAGCCCGGCUAACUUCGUGCCAGCAGCCGCGGUAAUAC